rnacentral:rRNA from 1 species
AGUGAACGCUGGCGGCGUGCUUAACACAUGCGAGUCGAACGAUAACGGAUUAUAGCUUGCUAUAAUUGUCAGCUAAGUGGCGCACGGGUGAGUAAUGUAUAGGUAAUAUGCCUCUUACUAAGGGAUAACAAAUGGAAACGUUUGCUAAUACCUUAUACUCCUUAUUAACAGAAGUUAAUAAGGGAAAGAUUUAUUGGUAAGAGAUUAGCCUGUAUUGUAUCAGUUAGUUGGUGGGGUAAUGGCUUACCAAGACUAUGACACAUAACUGGUUUGAGAGGAUGAUCAGUCACACUGGAACUGAGACACGAUCCAGACUCCUACGGGAGGCAGCAGUGGGGAAUAUUGCACAAUGGACGAAAGUCUGAUGCAGCAACGCCGCGUGGAGGAUGACACAUUUCGGUGCGUAAACUCCUUUUAUAUGAGAAGAUAAUGACGGUAUUAUAUGAAUAGGCACCGGCUAACUCCGUGCCAGCAGCCGCAGUAA